rnacentral:rRNA from 1 species
UGAACGCUGGCGGCGUGCCUAAUACAUGCAAGUCGAGCGAACGGACGAGAAGCUUGCUUUUCUGAUGUUAGCGGCGGACGGGUGAGUAACACGUGGAUAACCUACCUAUAAGACUGGGAUAACUUCGGGAAACCGGAGCUAAUACCGGAUCAUAUUUUGAACCGCAUGGUUCAAAAGUGAAAGACGGUCUUGCUGUCACUUAUAGAUGGAUCCGCGCUGCAUUAGCUAGUUGGUAAGGUAACGGCUUACCAAGGCAACGAUGCAUAGCCGACCUGAGAGGGUGAUCGGCCACACUGGAACUGAGACACGGUCCAGACUCCUACGGGAGGCAGCAGUAGGGAAUCUUCCGCAAUGGGCGAAAGCCUGACGGAGCAACGCCGCGUGAGUGAUGAAGGUCUUCGGAUCGUAAAACUCUGUUAUUAGGGAAGAACAUAUGUGUAAGUAACUGUGCACAUCUUGACGGUACCUAAUCAGAAAGCCACGGCUAACUACGUG